rnacentral:rRNA from 1 species
GAUGAACGCUGGCGGCGUGCCUAAUACAUGCAAGUCGAGCGAACAGACGAGGAGCUUGCUCCUCUGACGUUAGCGGCGGACGGGUGAGUAACACGUGGAUAACCUACCUAUAAGACUGGGAUAACUUCGGGAAACCGGAGCUAAUACCGGAUAAUAUAUUGAACCGCAUGGUUCAAUAGUGAAAGACGGUUUUGCUGUCACUUAUAGAUGGAUCCGCGCCGCAUUAGCUAGUUGGUAAGGUAACGGCUUACCAAGGCAACGAUGCAUAGCCGACCUGAGAGGGUGAUCGGCCACACUGGAACUGAGACACGGUCCAGACUCCUACGGGAGGCAGCAGUAGGGAAUCUUCCGCAAUGGGCGAAAGCCUGACGGAGCAACGCCGCGUGAGUGAUGAAGGUCUUCGGAUCGUAAAACUCUGUUAUUAGGGAAGAACAAAUGUGUAAGUAACUAUGCACGUCUUGACGGUACCUAAUUAGAAAGCCACGGCUAACUACGUG